AGAGUUUGAUCCUGGCUCAGGACGAACGCUGACGGUGUGCUUUAGGCAUGCAAGUCGAACGAGAAAGCCCUUCGGGGUGAGUAGAGUGGCGAACGGGUGAGUAACACGUGGGCAACCUGCCCCUCGCAGGGGGAUAACCGGAGGAAACUCCGGCUAAUACCCCGUAAGCUUUCAGGGUCGCAUGGCUCUGUAAGGAAAGGUAGCUUCGGCCAUCUGGCGAGGGAUGGGCCCGCGGUGCAUUAGCUAGUUGGUGGGGUAAUGGCCCACCAAGGCGACGAUGCGUAGCUGGUCUGAGAGGAUGAUCAGCCACACUGGGACUGAGACACGGCCCAGACUCCUACGGGAGGCAGCAGCCAGGAAUCUUGGGCAAUGGGCGAAAGCCUGACCCAGCAACACCGUGUGGGCGAUGAAGGCCUUCGGGUCGUAAAGCCCUGUUGAUAGGGACGAAGGGCGAAGGGUUAAUAGCCCCUAGCCUGACGGUACCUUUCGAGGAAGCCCCGGCUAACUACGUGCCAGCAGCGGCGGUAAUAC
rnacentral:rRNA from 1 species